rnacentral:rRNA from 1 species
UGCGUAGGGUGCAAGCGUUAAUCGGAAUUACUGGGCGUAAAGCGUGCGCAGGCGGUUAUGUAAGACAGGUGUGAAAUCCCCGGGCUUAACCUGGGAACUGCAUUUGUGACUGCAUAGCUAGAGUACGGUAGAGGGGGAUGGAAUUCCGCGUGUAGCAGUGAAAUGCGUAGAUAUGCGGAGGAACACUGAUGGCGAAGGCAAUCCCCUGGACCUGUACUGACGCUCAUGCACGAAAGCGUGGGGAGCAAACAGG